AUCAACCCUUAAAGAAGUGAGGACACACGAUUGGACCAUCUCAUUUGUUAAGGCCCAACUAAACUGCACUUUAAUCAAAUAACACUGAGCAACUACUGGGUGAAUAGAACAAGAAGGUGGAGGAAGUUUGAAUUUGCUCUUUCUCAUUAAAGUGGGUCAUCCAUCCUGUUGCUGCUCUCUGAUAUCAGUGCUUCUGGUUCCCAGGCCUUUGGACUCAGACCAAGACUUACACUAUUUAUAACGCCCAGACCCCCGCCAGGUUCUCAGGCCUUCAGACUUGGACUUGGACUUAAACCAUUGGUUCUCUGGGUUCUUGGGCCUUUGUCCUUGGAUUGUAAAUGCACCAACUGCUUUCCUGGGCCCCCAGCUUGCAGAUGACAGAUCAUGGAACUUCUCAAUCUCCAUAACUGUGUAAGCC
rnacentral:lncRNA from 1 species